rnacentral:rRNA from 1 species
ACAGGUGGUGCAUGGUUGUCGUCAGCUCGUGUCGUGAGAUGUGGGUUAAGUCCCGCAACGAGCGCAACCCUUGUGUUAGUUGCAAACAGGUCAAGCUGUGCACUCUAGACAGACUGCCGUGGACAACACGGAGGAAGGUGGGGAUGACGUCAAAUCAUCAUGCCCCUUAUGAUCUGGGCUACACACGUGCUACAAUGGCCGGUACAACGGGCAGCGAAGGAGCGAUCCGGAGCGAAUCCUAAAAAGCCGGUCCCAGUUCGGAUUGCAGGCUGAAACUCGCCUACAUGAAGUUGGAGUUGCUAGUAAUCGCGAAUCAGAAUGUCGCGGUGAAUGCGUUCCCGGGUCUU